rnacentral:lncRNA from 1 species
AUACCUUGCAGAAGUGGGUGGUCCCCAUGUGUUAAACUCAAUGUCUUGGUAAAUACCAUAUUCUGGAGUCCUCUUCUUACUUGUUUUGCUAAAUAGCCUACCUGUUAUUAACAAAAGAGGAAACUGGGUAUCAUUCAAAUCCUUUUUCAGGUCAAAACUUGAAUACCCAGGUGAAGAAUCAAGAUCACUAGCUUCCUCAAGCUGGAUAUCAUCCAGUUGAUUGAUCACUCUUAUACCAUCGAUACUUUGAUGAUCACAGACCAAAAGAACAUUCUUAUCUUUUAUAACAAAGGAUCCCCUGCUUUCUUCCACCUCUGUCUCGGCUACUGCUGUGGAGACAAACGCUUGUCCAGGAAUGGAGGA